rnacentral:rRNA from 1 species
UGGUGGGUAGUUUGACUGGGGCGGUCUCCUCCCAAAGAGUAACGGAGGAGCACGAAGGUUAGCUAAUCCUGGUCGGACAUCAGGAGGUUAGUGCAAUGGCAUAAGCUAGCUUGACUGCGAGAGUGACGGCUCGAGCAGGUGCGAAAGCAGGUCAUAGUGAUCCGGUGGUUCUGAAUGGAAGGGCCAUCGCUCAACGGAUAAAAGGUACUCCGGGGAUAACAGGCUGAUACCGCCCAAGAGUUCAUAUCGACGGCGGUGUUUGGCACCUCGAUGUCGGCUCAUCACAUCCUGGGGCUGAAGUAGGUCCCAAGGGUAUGGCUGUUCGCCAUUUAAAGUGGUACGCGAGCUGGGUUUAGAACGUCGUGAGACAGUUCGGUCCCUAUCUGCCGUGGGCGCUGGAGAAUUGAGGGGGGCUGCUCCUAGUACGAGAGGACCGGAGUGGACGCAUCACUGGUGUUCGGGUUGUCAUGCCAAUGGCACUGCCCGGUAGCUAAAUGCGGAAAAGAUAAGUGCUG